UAGGGAAUAUUAGAAAUGGACGAAAGUCUGAUCUAGCAACACCGCGUGUGCGAUGAAGGCCUUCGGGUCGUAAAGCACUUUUUGGAAGGAAUAGGAAGGAAUGUACUUCCAUAAUAAGUCUCGGCUAACUACGUGCCAGCAGCCGCGGUAACACGUAGGAGGCAAACGUUAUCCGGAUUUACUGGGCGUAAAGCGCGUGUAGGUGGUACUGUAAGUAGGGCGUGAAAGCUCCUGGCUCAACUGGGAGAGGCCGUUCUAAACUACAGAACUAGAGGAUGGUAGAGGGAGGUGGAAUUCCAGGUGUAGCGGUGGAAUGCGCAGAUAUCUGGAGGAACACCGGUGGCGAAGGCGGCCUCCUGGACCAUUCCUGACACUCAGACGCGAAAGCUAGGGUAGCAAACA
rnacentral:rRNA from 1 species